GCUGAUGUUGCUCAGUAGUUAGAGCAUUGGCCUGUGCACUUAGGGUCAUGGGUUCGAUUCCCAGUCAAGAGCA
rfam:Myotis lucifugus cont2.6281, whole genome shotgun sequence.